rnacentral:lncRNA from 1 species
CGUGGGUGUGACAACACGACACUGAGUGUGGCAACACUACGUUGGGGGUAACAAUGCUACACUGGGUGUGACAACGCUACGCUGAGUGUGAUGACACUACGUUGGGUGUGACAGUGGUACGUUGGGUGUGACAACACUACGUUGAGUGUGACAGUGCUACGUCGGGUGUGACAACGCUGCGCUGCGUGUGACAACACUCCGUGGGCUGUGACAGUGCUAUGUCGGGUGUGACAACACUACGCUGAGUGUGACAACACUCCAUCGGGUGUAACGGUCCUACGGCGGGUGUGACAACACUGCGUCGGGUGUGACAACACUACGAUGGGUGUAACAGUGCUGCGUCGGGUGUGACAACGCUACCUCAGGUGUGCCAACACUGCGUUGGGGGUGACAGCGCUACGCCGGGUGUGACAGCACUGUGUUGGUUGUAACAACACUACAUCGGGUGUGAUUACAUCGGGUGUGACAACGCUGUGUUGGUGUGUCAGCUCUGUGGUGGUGGUCACAGCACUACAGCGGGGUGUGGCAACACUACAUGGGGUGUGACAGUGUGACAUUGGGUGUGACAACACUACAUGGGGUGUGACAACACGACAUGGGGGGUGACAACACUACAUGGGGUGUGACAACAUGUCAUUGGGUGUGACAACACGACAUGGGGUGUGACAAUGUGACAUUGGGUGUGACAGUGCUAUAUUGGGUGUGACAACACUGUGCCAGGUGUGACAACAUGACAUUGGGUGUGACAACACUACAUUGGGUGUGACAGUGACACUCCCAUGGGUGUGACAGCACUGCGGUGGGUGUAAUGGCCCUGUAUUGGGUGUGACAGUGCUACACUGGGUGUGACAACACUGUGCCAGGUGUGACAACGUGACAUUGGGUGUGACAACACUACAUUGGGUGUGACAGUGCUACAUUGGGUGUGACAACACUGUGCCGGGUGUGACAACACGACAUGGGGGGUGACAACACUACAUGGGGUGUGACAACAUGACAUUGGGUAUGACAACACUCCCAUGGGUGUGACAGCGCUACGUUGGGUGUGACAACACUGCACUGGGUGUGAUAACACUACAUUGGGUGUGACAACACUACAUGGGGUGUGACAG